UACGUAGGGUGCGAGCGUUAAUCGGAAUUACUGGGCGUAAAGCGUGUGCAGGCGGUUUCGAAAGUCCGAUGUGAAAUCCCCGGGCUUAACCUGGGAACUGCGUUGGAAACUACGAGGCUAGAGUGCGGCAGAGGGGGGUGGAAUUCCAGGUGUAGCAGUGAAAUGCGUAGAGAUGUGGAGGAACACCGAUGGCGAAGGCAGCCUCCUGGGCCAGCACUGACGCUCAUGCACGAAAGCGUGGGGAGCAAACAGG
rnacentral:rRNA from 1 species